rnacentral:rRNA from 1 species
UACAGAGGGGGCAAGCGUUAUUCGGAAUUAUUGGGCGUAAAGGGCGCGUAGGCGGCUUCGCAAGUGGAAGGUGAAAGCCCUCGGCUCAACCGAGGAAUUGCGCUCUAAACUGCAGUGCUCGAGGAAGCUAGAGGUGAGCAGAACAGAUGGUGGAGCGGUGAAAUGCGUUGAUAUCAUCUGGAAUACCGGAGGCGAAGGCGGCUCACUGGGGCUUUUCUGACGCUGAGGAACGAAAGCCAGGGUAGCGAACGGG